GUUGGCAGGAGCCGAUUCGCCACGAGGAGCCGGGGGAAGUUGUUUCAUUUGCUUUUUUUUUUUUCCAAGCCUAGAGUGAGCGGGCCAGCGGGGAGCCAGGGAAGGCUCAGCGCUCUUCACGACACCCCGCUGCCCUCCUGCUGGGGAAAUAUCGGUCUGAUGCUGACAAGCACCAUGCCGAAGCUUUUGGUGCUUGAUAUGCUGUCCUUCUAAAUCUGGGCAAAAGCAUCUAAAUAUUGCUUUCAGUUGCUGACUUGAAUCAGCAGGUGUUUCUUUUGACUUGUAUCUUGUCGUGUCUACGGAUUGCAGCUUAUACCGUGAAUAUCAUUAUAUGUUGUGCCUAAAUAUUUGCAGUGAGUAGGCACAGUGUGAGUUCAAUUUGAAGAUCAUCGCCAUGACAUGCGAAUGUCUAAUACCUCCAGGGUCACUGGCAGGAUAGAAACAUGAUGAGAAAAGAGACUUUUCCCUUUUCCUAGUACAUUUUAAAGAGCAGUGUUACUGUGUAGUCUCAUUUUAUUGCUCUAAAACUUAGCAGAUGACUAGUCCCGCUUAUAAAUUCCUUUCUUCGGUCACUUCGUAGCAAAGAUCCAAUAGCAAGUUUCAUGUUCAAGAUGUCUAGCAAAACUGGUAAUGCACAAUACAGCUUUCCACCUCUUAUAGUAGUCAUUCAUAGUUCUCACUGGAGGUCUGUAAGCGUGUCUCAGUCCAGUUUCCAAGAAAGAAACAGCUGUGGUAUAACUGUUGCCUUUACCUGCAAUCUCAGCUGAGAGGCUAAGUAAUAAAUGACCGUGGAAACUGAACUCUUCUGCCUAGACGUGUUGUCCUUCCACAUCAAGUUUCAGGGACAUUAGCAGCGUCACGUGGAAAAUUUACAUGCUGCAAUCUGUGCUAAAAUUGAGUAGAGGACUUUGGUCUCCAGGCCUGGCACUGGUUACUAUGCCACUUUGUUCACAUUAACAUGUUUAAAAAAGUAUCCUGGGGGUUCUGGGAACACUUCUCUUACUUCUCUUAGAUGUGUUGAGUAAUUGUGUGCGUGUAAUCUAAGUCCCCUUGUUAAGGUAAAAAAAAAAGUAAGCAUUACCAAGCUAUUGCUACGUAUAUACAGAUAUUUCUUAACACUGAAGUCACUUCCCAUUGUUUUGUUUUGGGUUUUUUUGUUCACCUCUCACUCUGUCUAAAAAUGCAGUUAUGAGGAAAAUGUAUUUUGUCAGGACUUCUGCAGACUCCUAAACCUGUCAAAUAAACUACUACUACUAGCAUCA